AUUGAACGCUGGCGGCAUGCUUUACACAUGCAAGUCGAACGGUAACAGGCCGCAAGGUGCUGACGAGUGGCGAACGGGUGAGUAAUGCAUCGGAACGUGCCCAGUCGUGGGGGAUAACGCAGCGAAAGCUGUGCUAAUACCGCAUACGAUCUAUGGAUGAAAGCGGGGGACUGUAAGGCCUCGCGCGAUUGGAGCGGCCGAUGUCAGAUUAGCUAGUUGGUGGGGUAAAGGCCCACCAAGGCGACGAUCUGUAGCUGGUCUGAGAGGACGACCAGCCACACUGGGAAUGAGACACGGCCCAGACUCCUACGGGAGGCAGCAGUGGGGAAUUUUGGACAAUGGGCGCAAGCCUGAUCCAGCUAUGCCGCGUGCAGGAAGAAGGCCUUCGGGUUGUAAACUGCUUUUGUACGGAACGAAACGGACUGGGUUAAUACCUCGGGCUAAUGACGGUACCGUAAGAAUAAGCACCGGCUAACUACGUGCCAGCAGCCGCGGUAA
rnacentral:rRNA from 1 species